UGAAUGUGUCCCCGAAUUCCAUGAGUUGGAAAGUUAGUCUGCCGUGCAACAGUGUUGAGAAGCAGGACCUAUGGAAGAUGACUGAGUUAUUGAAGAUCUGGCUUUAUCAGUGGAUCAGUUCAGUCCUGGGUUAAUGGGUUGUCAGGGAGGAAUGCUGUUGUUAUAGGAGCGAACUCUAAGAUUGCGGAGCAUGGGAGCAGCCCAGUGACCUGGGAAAAAUCCUCUUGGAAGAAUGUAUUCACCUUUUCCUGGACAAACCUAUCUGGGCGAGAAAGGAUCAGAUACCCGCCAGGGCCACCCACGGAGGCACGCAAGAUCUCAGUACCAAUUUCACACGAGAUGCGGGAUGUCGCUCUACACUUAACUUGGCUGCAGGAGUGGAUGUGGUAGCCAGGUAAGAACACUACCUGCGCCUCGAAGGUUCAGCGACUCUCCUCCUUCGGCUGCACCUGGAUCUCCCGGAGACUUGGGUUGAAACACAGGUUGCUGGAUUUGCCCUCCCGAGUAUUGACUCCACACAGUGGCCUCGGCACUUGUUUCUCUAACGAGAUGUCGGGUGAAACUGUUGUGGCUGUUGCCAGCGGCGUAUGAAUAGGGCACAUUUUGAGAUCCACCCGCUAACUCGCGCCACGCUUGGUGAUAUAAUAUUAUACCUGGGUGGUAUUACCGUAAUAGCUGGUGCCUCUGUUCUCCUUGAGGAGACAUCUACCUUCUGUGUAGAAUAAAAAUUGCUGGGAAAUCCUGCUUGAGUUGGGUGACACCUUCAGGUGUCAGUCAGCAGCAACAGACUAGGAGUAGAAAGAUGUCCCUCAGGAGACAGCGGUGGGAACAAAGAGGCCACAAGAGGAUCUGCCUCCCUAGGCCAAAGGGCUGGGAGGUCCCACAGGCUAGAACUGGUUUUAGGAGGAGUCUGGAGUCUGGAUUGCCUGAUUUUCUGAGGGUUCAGGGGUCCAGUAAGGUUUCUGGGGAUGCUAAGGCUGAAAGUCAAGCUCUUAGGGACCCUCAAAGAUUUCAUUUCAUUUAGUGUUUUUAUUUAAACUUUAGACCUUUAAAGAAGGGAUAAACUGCUGGCUGUGCGGGUGCACAUCUUCAAUCCCAGCACUCAGGAGGCAGAGGCAGGUGGAUCUCUGUGAGUGUGAUGCUAGCCUGGGUUACAUAGUGAGUUCCAGCCAGAUACAUAAUGAGACCUUGUGUAAAAACAAACAAACAAAUAAACAAACAAAAAAACGCAAAAACUCAAAACCUGAAAUGCCACUAAAAUCACUGUAAUUAAGUGUAUACCACAUUGCACAAGAGCUGUGAACUUUUCAAAUUUAUAGAUUUCUUUGAUCUUUACCAAAGCUUUGUCAGAGCAAAACAGUAGAAUUAAUCAUAACCCCCAGAGGAAAACAGAGGCAUAGAUAUAUAUGAACAGUAAAACCACUAGGGUCUAAGUUCACAGACAGACAGGUCAGGCAGCUUCUUAGAGGGCCCCAGAGAAGACCCCGUGCUCUUAGGCCUCCACUUUCCUUUCGAAUGAGGUGGACCCAGAGUUCAAAUAUAAUCCUGAGUAAACUGACAUUUGGAGUGGGGCUUCUGAAGGUCUCAGAGAGGAGAUUAAAUCAUUCCGUCUCUAGCCGAGCAUCUGAGUCUCAAGCCCAGAGUCUCGGGCUCUCCUGAAGAGCCGUUCAUCAUCUGCCUGCAGGAGGGAGGAAGACAGCAGUGUGAUGGAGCCGAACCGUCUUUAGAGUUUACAGCCACACAUUGCAGUCCGACAUAAAUCUUGAACUAAAGAGGUCUGUAGCACAUAGGAGCCCGUUGUGGCCGGAUCCUCGGGUUUUCUGGCAACAUUUACUCCAUCUGUCUCUGUGGCCAACAAACAAAUCAAUUCCACUUUAAAUCAAAAUGGCAGGAUUCCUGGCAGUUCUCUGGAGUUUCUAGCACUAUCCCUAGAGAACAGGACCCUGAGGCCCUCUCCCACUUAACCUGACUCUUCUAUCUUUAGCUAGAUAUACCAGGCUCAUAUGAGAGACUUCCUUAACAGGAAGAAGGCCAGAUCCUACAUAGACCAGGCAGAGGUCUAGGAUUGAAAGGAGGGGUAUCCUUUCUGUUGGGGGUGGGAAUGUUGAAAUGAUCGACCCUCUGUCCUCAAUAUCAUCGGCCCCACCCCCACAGACACCCUUGGACCCAGAGGUAAAGGAGAGUCGACAGAUGGUCCCGUAAUGAAACGGCUCACGCUUACUAAACCUCACGCGCCUGGUUUGUUUGUGUCUCCUGCUUACUCUACAAGAAAUCCCAGCACACGCCCGAAGUCUUUAGGACCUGAAGGGACCUGUCACGGAGAGCAGGUGUCGGAGCUGGCAUUAAAACCUGUGUUUCCACAAAGCCCCUGUUCUUAGCCAUGCCAGGCAGUGGUUCAUUAAUGGAGACCCUUGGAGAAAACAAAAACAAGUGACUUUGCCCACAGAUGUGAAUUCAUCUCUUGUUUUGAGGGAUUAUGUUUUGCUUGGGUAUUAAAUGGGUUCAUUCUUUUCUCAAAACCAUGGUAAUGACAGUUAGUGAUUCUCUCUCACCUUCCUUCUCCUCCUGCCUCUCCUUCCCUCUUUACCUUUUUUACUUGGUGAGGGCUGAAAAACAAAUAUAUAUACAUAUUA